rnacentral:ribozyme from 11 species
ACAUACAACACAAAAACAAAAUAAAAAAGUAGAAAGCAAAAAAAAAGACAGCAACAAGUUGUUCUGAAUAUUUCAUCAAUCAAGAAGAUUCCCAGCCAUAUACUGCUUUCUUUCCUU